rnacentral:rRNA from 1 species
GAUGAACGCUGGCGGCAUGCCUUACACAUGCAAGUCGAACGGCAGCACGGGAGCAAUCCUGGUGGCGAGUGGCGAACGGGUGAGUAAUGUAUCGGAACGUGCCCAGUCGUGGGGGAUAACGUAGCGAAAGCUACGCUAAUACCGCAUACGAUCUAUGGAUGAAAGCGGGGGAUCGCAAGACCUCGCGCGAUUGGAGCGGCCGAUAUCAGAUUAGGUAGUUGGUGGGGUAAAGGCUCACCAAGCCGACGAUCUGUAGCUGGUCUGAGAGGACGACCAGCCACACUGGGACUGAGACACGGCCCAGACUCCUACGGGAGGCAGCAGUGGGGAAUUUUGGACAAUGGGCGCAAGCCUGAUCCAGCAAUGCCGCGUGCAGGAUGAAGGCCUUCGGGUUGUAAACUGCUUUUGUACGGAACGAAACGGCGAGCUCUAAUACAGUUUGCUAAUGACGGUACCGUAAGAAUAAGCACCGGCUAACUACGUGCCAGCCGCCGCAGUAA